rnacentral:lncRNA from 1 species
UGGGGGAGGCUGGGAAGCCAGGGUGGUGGGUGACAUUGAGCUGGCUCCGCAGGGUGGAGUUUGCCAAACAGAGAAGCAAGGCACAGACACUCAUUGUUUUCUUCUCUCCUUCUAUCUGUCUGUCUCUGUCUCUCUUUGUCACUCUUCCCGCACCCCUCUUCCUGGCUGCUUUCUGCUUCUGUGUACUUCUGAUUUUUCUGUUUUUUCCUGUUAUCCUCUCUCCCCAUCUGCCUGUUUUGUUUUUUUUUCUCUCUGUCUCACUGUCUCCCAUCAUGAUCUCUCCCCCCAUGUCUGCUGUCGGAUCUCUCUCCUUCCUUCUCUCCCUGCCUUCCUGUCACUCAUGGUCUUUCUCCCUUCCCCAACCCGGCAUCCACCUGUGUCUCCCUCCCUUUCCUCUCUCUUUCUGUUUUUAUCUCAAUUUCUU